CAAACAGGAUUAGAUACCCUGGUAGUCCACGCCGUAAACGAUGUCGACUUGGAGGUUGUGCCCUUGAGGCGUGGCUUCCGGAGCUAACGCGUUAAGUCGACCGCCUGGGGAGUACGGCCGCAAGGUUAAAACUCAAAUGAAUUGACGGGGGCCCGCACAAGCGGUGGAGCAUGUGGUUUAAUUCGAUGCAACGCGAAGAACCUUACCUGGUCUUGACAUCCACGGAAGUUUUCAGAGAUGAGAAUGUGCCUUCGGGAACCGUGAGACAGGUGCUGCAUGGCUGUCGUCAGCUCGUGUUGUGAAAUGUUGGGUUAAGUCCCGCAACGAGCGCAACCCUUAUCCUUUGUUGCCAGCGGUCCGGCCGGGAACUCAAAGGAGACUGCCAGUGAUAAACUGGAGGAAGGUGGGGAUGACGUCAAGUCAUCAUGGCCCUUACGACCAGGGCUACACACGUGCUACAAUGGCGCAUACAAAGAGUAGCGACCUCGCGAGAGCAAGCGGACCUCAUAAAGUGCGUCGUAGUCCGGAUUGGAGUCUGCAACUCGACUCCAUGAAGUCGGAAUCGCUAGUAAUCGUGGAUCAGAAUGCCACGGUGAAUACGUUCCCGGGCCUUGUACACACCGCCCGUCACACCAUGGGAGUGGGUUGCAAAAGAAGUAGGUAGCUUAACCUUCGGGAGGGCGCUUACCACUUUGUGAUUCAUGACUGGGGUGAAGUCGUAACAAGGUAACCACUAGUGGAUCCGAGCUCCU
rnacentral:rRNA from 1 species